rnacentral:lncRNA from 1 species
GAUGGUGCAGGGGUAGUAAGUGCAUUCUCCCUGCUGGGCACCACCCCCAGGGCCUCUGCUUCCUCUGAGCGGAAACUCUAUGCCCAGCACCUGGGAAGCCCCACUGUGUCUGAGUGUGACGUGAGCACUUACUGUUUUCUUCAGCACAACCCCAUCUCUGCCAUGAGUGCACACAACAGAAGGCCAGUUUCACACCAAAGGAGCAAAGGCUGGCCCUGAACUCCUGGGCUCCAGUGAUCCUCCGGCCUCAGCCCUCCCAGCAGCUGGACCACAGUGUUGAGACCGUGCCCAGCUGGGAUGAUGUCUGUGUGAUCAGAUGUGUUCCUUGUCUGUCCUUCCAUCACCCUCCUUUCCUGCAAUCCAGACCUCAGAGCACGAGGGGCCCUGGUGUGGAAAUCCCUGCCCACACCCACGUCCUGAGAAGCCUAUGCUGAGUCCCUGCCCUUUCCAAUCCUGGGGCUGCGUCUUCAAGACCACGAGACGUCAUGGAGCCCGAGGCUCCUGUCCCUUCCAGCCUCUCUUGUCCUCACAGCUCCGUCCCCCGACACUCCUGGAGGUGUCACCUUUGAUGGCCACAUUCGUGGUCCUGCUUCUGUGUGCUGGGGAGUAGCCAUGAGCACUGGCAGGGACACCACCCCAGGUGGCAGUCGGCUAGGACCGCUGAAACCCAGGCGGGGGCAGCCUGAGUGAGGCUCCGGCUCCACGAGCUCCACAGGCUCCACACCGUGCUUCUCCCACUAGUGCGCACUUCUCGGCAGUGCACUUGUCUGGGCCCGAGGUUGGGGUCUCAUCUUUAUCUUCACACAUCUGUAACCUGGGUCUCCCUGUCAUGGAACACAGUCAGCUGGGGACGUGGACACAGUGGGUCUGCACAAGGUCGAGUGAGUAGUUUUGAACCCUCACUGAUUCUUGUGCUCUGCUGAGCAGUGCUGAUGACAUUCGGCUGAAGGCCUUUGGCAGCACUAGCAUGGCAUGGCUCAGGGAAGGAAGUAAUUGACUGUAGGCAACACUUUGCCCAGCCACAUCCAGACAGAACAGUGCUGCAUUUCCAGGUGUAGUCUUGUAAAACAGUAUCUGUCGCUCUCUAGAAUCCAGUAAGAUUAAAAACUAGUGCCAACACUCAUCUGAUGCGGCCCCAGGAGAGAUGCAAGAGUUCUUUCAUGUCCCAAGAGUUAGACAUUUGCCCAUUUUUUAAAGUCUUUUUCUUCAAGUCUAAAAAAUAGGAUGCCUAUUUCUUCACCUUCACCUAUCCAUUCAAAAAUCACUUAUCAGGGCCAGGGAUUUAGCUCAGUGGCACCACACCUGCCUCAAAAGUGCGAGGUCCUGAGUUUGAUCCCUAGAACUGGAAAAAAAAAAAUCACAUCAACUACAUAUGGACUAAGUGAUAGUUGGGAUUUGCUUAAAAUUAUACAGGGUAAGUAAGGGGUAGUGAGGAAAGGAACAGAUGGAACAAGACUGGGUGUGAGUGGAUGGUUGCUGAAGGGGUGGCCAAGCACAUGAGCAGCCUCGGUACCUGCUUGAGCAUGGCAACACUGCCAUCACUGCACCCACAACAAUAGACACUCCAUGGGACCCCCCCACAUAUACAUUCCAAACGUGCAUGAUGAACAUGCCUUCAGUUGCCAUAUACGAGUACAGUUAAUGUUCACAAGUUCAUCUCCAUCUCCUCCAGCCCAUGCUGCCAGACCACAGCAAAGCAUUCUGUCAAACACAGAUGCUCCCAACCCGUGCCACCUGAUGUGAGAAAUCAGUGCACACAGACAACUGCUUGUUCACUGUGAUUGAACUGGGCCACACAGUAAGGCAUCUGAGAACCAGACUGGGCCUUUAUGUCCAAGUUCUCAGUGAGGGGAGAUUAGAUUGCUGAAAAAGAUCAGACAUGAAGCAAGGCUCAAGGCUGCAUUAUCUAGCUUUUGAUCCCCCUUUUUUGAGACAGGGUCUGUCAGGCUGCCCUUUAACUCACUAUACAGCCCAGACAGCCCCAAACUUGCAGCAAUCCUGCCUCAGCCUCUUGAAUGCUGGAAUUAUGGGCAUGUGCCACUACUCUCAGCUGGAUUCCCUUUGUAAAUAGCUUUUUUAAAUUGGAAAAACUGUUUUCCUUCUAUGCUGUGGCCCCGUGGCCCUCAGCAUGACAGAACUGCUGCUCACAUGGCUCUGACCAGCAGUAACUUAAAGGUCAGAGGCAGCUACCUCUAAGCCUCGCCAGCUUCUCUUCAGACUGCUGAGAAGCCCUGGUUUCAUCAACUCUCUCCAAUACUAACUGGUCUGUGCCAUUAAGCCAUCCAAUUAAAUAGUUACUUCCUUCUCAUUGUCAUGUGUUUGGGACCCAAAAGAGAACAAGGGGCCCUGCCACUGAGAAUCUCCACCUCAGGCUUCAACAACCAACGUAACGAGUGAGGCGAGUCAGAAUAACUCAUAGUAUAAGCAGAAGCAGCAGGAUUCUGUAGAUCUUCUCAGGAGAUGGUAUUUUAGUGAACGAUGGCCAGUGGGUGGCAGGAUCAUUUGGGGAAGUGGAAACACAAGGGCUGAUUCGUGUUUUAAAAAGAGGAAAAAAAAGAAAAAAAAAAAAAAAAAAGAGGAAAGGCAGAUGCCAAAGGGUGAUGAUGUCAGAUUAUAAGUCUGUGUGCAAUUAGACUGAUGGAACUCAGCACACUGAGGGAUGUUUAGCUGAGAAUGACGGGUCUGUGUUAGCAGAAGCAACCCUAGUUUCCCCUCACGAGGUGGGAGCAAGGGUGAAUCGGGAUGUCAUAGGAUUGGAGGUCUUGUACAGAUUCCUGAUGUCCUAAGCCAGUGAUGGAGAACCUUUUAGAACUUUUCAAUGAUAAACAGCCCAUUGCAGCACUUGUGUCACAGGUUUGCCACCACUGUCCUAAGCAAAGAAUUGAGCAUGACACCCAGAAGUGGCUGCAAGAUCAAAGAUUUGGAAGAAAAAAUGUACAGUCCACAAGGUGGAAGCGGGCCAGUGAGAAAAGCUCAUGGCCUUAGGAAGCUUGAUACCAAGGACUUUAAACCUGAGGGUAUGGGGCGGGACUGAGUAUUUACUUUGAGCUAUGACUCCUGCCAAUGAGCAGCUUGGCUGGGUCCCUUCACUGGGUGGUGUUUUUUUUUUUUUGGUACUGGGGAUCGAACUCGGGUCCUUGAGCUUGUGAGGCAGGCGGCAGAACCACUGAGCUAAAUCCCGGCCCAAUCCCCUAAAUCUUUAUGGGAUAUUGAGGGCCUGAUGAUCUCUUCUUCUGAAGCUGCCUCCGAGAGCAGUCUUCAUUCCUACCUACAGAUUAAUUUCUUGUAUAGGAUUUAAUGAUCUUCCAUGGAGUCUGGGUGAGCUGGUGGCUAGAAGGUGGAAAGGCUGAGCCACCUCUUUCAGGGCUGAGUUGGAAGGGGCAUACUUGGGGUCUUCAGUAGUUGAUUAUGGCCGAAUUCCCUGCUUGCCAAGAGAGACAGCCAGGAAAGCCAUCCCCAAGGAUGCCUUUAAGAGAGGCAACUGGUUAGCCCUUAUUCACUUAAGUGGGAUGCCUCAUCUUUGAGGGUAUUUACAGCUUGUACAACAUUUGACUGGUAGAUAUACUAAUAGUAUUAUUCUUCCAAAGCCAGGCAGAGACUUCCCCAUGCUUUAGUUAGUGUUAUCUAAACCUCUGUGACUUUUAAGGGACACCACAGCUAGGGAAUCUAUUUGAUCUUGUAAGACCUUUAAGGCAGCAGAGACUAGGAUAAGGUCUUCAGCAAGCAUGAGGCAGAGGUGGUCAAAGUGUAGUCCUGUAGCUCCUGUUCUUAUCCCUGUGGCAAUUCCUACAGGAAUUAGAGUAAUCAUUGAUUUUUGGUCAAAUGAAGGUAGAAAGGGAAGGGAAAGGCUGGUUGUUAGGAACAACGUAUCAGGGGCUAGAAAAGCUAUGGUACAAACACCUGUCCAGAAAACAAAACCAAACCACUUGUCCAGUUGGGAGGAAAGCACAGGAAGACUUGAUUCCUGCAAAGAACACACUCAGGGCAGUAAGUAGCAAGAUCAAGAUAGAAAAGUUGAUGUGUAUCAGUUAUGAAAGUACUGGGGGUUGCUCUGAAGAAGUAUCAAAGAGCAAAUGUCAUUCCUGUUAAUGGGUGAAAAGAGUAAAGUUGUGGCUGACACAUGCCUUGGGCCUUGUUUUCUUCAAAGUACUACCUCUGUGAGUAAAGAAAAAACAAGUGUCUGUGAUUGACAAAGUGAUGUAUUGCCUAUAAGCAGUUAAGAGUAUAGCUAACAGUGGUUAUCCAGGGGCUGAGACUUAAGAGGAUGGUCUUUCUCGACAUCAGAAGCCAGAAUUUUUAUUGUGUUCAGCAGGUCUGUUGAAGGCAGAUUGAGAUUGAUUUUGAGGAACCACUGUGUUGGAGAAUUCAGCCUCUAGACUUGCAGUCUAAGAUACAGGUAAAGUUACAGGGAGUGACACUGCCCAUAGGUUUGACAGUAUUGAGGGUUAUCUAUGGCCUGCAUGCACACUGGAGCUCCGGUGACAAAGAAGUCUGAAAAUACUGGCCCAAAAAGUUAUCAUAAGUGGUUUAAAUUUGGCUGUAUUUGUAUAAGAGAACUGUUAGGAGUAAUAGGGGUCGAGCAGCAAAGGUUCCAUCAAUGACAGUGUAAAGAUGCUGUAUGAAUUGUCCAACCAAAAGGCUCUGGGCUGGGGAUUUAGCUCAGUGGUUUGCGCCUGCUGCACAAGUGCAAGGACCCGAGUUUGAUCCCUGGUACCAAUAAAUAAAUAAAUAAAUGAAUGAAUGAAUGAAUGAAUGAAUGAAUGUCUCUGCAGGAUAUGCCUCGGUAGUCAUUAGGAGACAAGUGGGCACAGCCAGCAAGCAGUCUUAUACUAGGGACUUAUUAGACUUUAAGAGUGUUAAUCUUUUUGAGUAGAUGGAGGUGAGGAAAUGGUUUGGGACUGAUAGUUUGGAGACUAAUAAUCAUAGGUAACAAAGUUUAUCGAGGCAAGCAGCAAGGAGACUUUAUUUGGUACCAGGGAUCAAACUCAGGACCUUACACUUGCAAGGCAGGCAUGGUGCCACUGAGAUAAAUCCCCGGGCCCAUGGAGACUUUAUAAACCAUGUUCCAAUUUUGAUAGAGCAAGGAUAUUAUGUGAGGCACCAGAGACUGACUCAGAGUAGGCAGAAAAAUAACCAAAUGAGAACCAAGAGUAGAAACCCACCAUAGAAUAAAUGCCCAUUUAUGCUGGGAUAACUGGGUGGUCAUAGCUUAAGUCUUAGUUGCUUCCCAAGUAGUCUGAUAAGUCUCCCUGUAACAGUAAAUCGCAAAGCAUUUGAAUAGGUCAGAAUCUAAGAGUAUGUUCAAACUACAAUCCACUGAAGUAGCUAAAAUUGUAUCAAAGGAUUUUAGAAAAAUGAUCAUUAUUUGUACUUUAAUAUUAGAGGAUGCAGAGAAGCACAAGGCAUUGCUUCAUGACAACCCUAAUGAAUAUGCAUGUGAAUCAGUUGUGAGGACACAUCAUAGAAAUGCACACUGAAGCCUUCUGAAAGUAAUAAGCAGGGCCUUCAAAAGUACUGAGUCAAGCCAGAGGAAUGAGACUUCUGUCAGGAACUCCAGCCUCCGCAACUCACUAGAAUCGCUGGUUCUAAACUGGGUCCUUUUGCUGAAGGUAUUAUUGGGACAGCUGGAGAAGCCUGAGUGGGUCCUAUGGAUUAGGACCCAACAGCAAUGUAUCAGUACUAAUUUCCUGACUCUGAUGGUAGGUUACGGAGAAGAAUAUCGUGGUGGGCAGGAAUUCUACAUGAAAGUAUUUAGGGUAAUGGACAUAAGACUAGCUACUUACAGAGGUUCCAAGGGGGGGAGUUGUAUCAAAUUAAAAAUUUUGAGUAAAGUUUUAUUUCACCAGUUAGAAAUUUAUUUUUCUUAAAGGUGUGGUGAGUUGGGGCUGGGGAUUUAGCUCAGUGGUUCCGCUGCCUGCCUCGCAAGCGCAAGGUCCUGAAUUCAAGCCUUGGUACAAAAAAGAAAAAAAAAAGAUGUGGGGAGUUUUCCCAGAAAGUCUGCCAGAUUGAAGAAUCUUCAGCUUCAGCUUGUCCCUAUUAAUUUGAAAAUAAAAUGCUUCCAUGAGACAUCUAUGUUGAGCUGAGGGCAGGCAUCUCAGAGCACCUGGACUGAUUGGCUCGAUGUGCUGGAUUCACCACGCUGGCUGCGGGAGAUGUCACUGGCUGAGGGAUCGCUGAAGAGCUUCAUACAUUUUUUGAUCCUUGGGGAGGGAAGGCAGAACACAAGAGCUAAGCAAGGGCUCUGAACAGAAUGGUGGCCCACAAGUUCAUACGCUGAAGUCUUAACCCCAGGACAUCAAAAUGUGGCUGUAUUUGCAGAUAAGGCCUUUAUGGAGUUGAUUAGGUUGGGUAAGGUCGGUGGUUGGGCCCUAACCAUAAAAACCAGUCUCCCAAUGAGAAGAGGUAGUUAGAACACAGAUAUGCAGACGAAAGACCAUGCGAAGACACAAAAAGAACCCCCUCUGUGAGAUGAGAGGCCUGGGAAAAACCAGUUCUUAUACUUUGGUCCAGGGCAGGUUUUCAGACCAGUGAGGAAAUAAAACUCCUGUUAAGUCCCCAGUCCAUGGUACUUUGUUAAGGUGCCCUGGCUGAGGGAUCUGCUGUUGUCAGGUUGGGGAGGCCUCCACCCAGAUUUUUCAAGAGGUGUGCCUGGGAAGGCAGUGAGCAAAGCUGUGAGUUAAAGCUCAAAGUGCAGUGGAGACCCCUGGAAGCUGGAGAAGCCGGCACCAUGGAAGGUCUACUGAGGAGGGCCAAAGGCAGUAAGGGGAGGCAGCCCCAAAGAACCCAAGCCUCACGUCUCACAACUUGCCCUGGUUGCUGAACAGAGCUAGAGUAUUUAAUGUUUGCCCUGCUGGGUUCUGGUAUUGCUUUGGUCUCAUUCCUUCCUUGUGGUAUGGGAACGUUCAUCCUUUUCCAUUUUAUUGAAAUGUUUAAUUUUCUUUUCAUUUUUACAGGGAGUCACUAAGAGUUUGCCUUGAGUUUCAGAGGGGUUUUUGGACCUGAACUUUUCAGCAACGGCCAAACUAAGAUUUUGGUGAUUCUUAAAGAUAGACUAAAUGCAUAUGAAUAAAGAGAUCCACAUAGGUGUUUUGGGGCCAGGGGCAGAAUGUUAUGGUUUAUAGGUAGGUGUCUCCAAAAAGCCUCAUGUGCGGACAGGUGAAGCUUUUGGAAGAGGACUGGACCGUACGGGCACUAUAGCUUACUUGCAGUUAGAAGGUAGGACCCGGUUGGGAAAGGCAGUUCACUGGGGGGUGUGACCUGAACAGUGUAUCAUCCUUCCCAGCUACGCUUUAGCGCUCUGCUUCCUGGCUACCACACAUGAGCAGUUCUUCUCCACCUGAAUCCUUCUACUAUAAGAUUUCUAUGUUUGAGCUUGCCGAACGUGGACCAAAACUUCUAAAACAUGAGCCAAAAUAAACAUCUCCUUUCAGGUGUCAAGUAUAUUGUCCCAGUGAUAAGAAAAGUAACUAAAACAGCAAGAAAACUGUUAGAGGUAUUUAAAAGAGAGUUAUAGGGUAAAGAAAGUUUGAUACUAGAUUAAGGUACAGGAAGAAGGUAGGAAUCAAAGGAGAAAUGCUGUCUGUCAUUGGAGGAUGUGAUGUGAUACCAGAUGUGAGGAUGCUGCUUCCUGGCAAUUUGUCUCCUAUGGAAACACUUGCUUAAUUUCAGAAGAGUCCCAUGCCUGUACAGAAGAAAAUGACUGGUUUCCUUUGGAAAUUUUGUUUGUGGUUUCUAUACAGAAUCUGGAGUUAUCAGUAAGACAGACAUUGUGGUUAAAGGUUGCUGAUGUGUUCUGAUUUUGGUCGGAGACCAGCGAAGGGAAGAUUAGUUGUAAAAGGCCCUGCCCCUCCCCACCUUUCCUAGACCGAACCACCCCUUCCCCUGGUAGUGGACGCAGUUUUAAUCACACCUCCACCCCUCUGUGGUGGGAGGCCUCUCAGUAAGAAACCUUUAAAAACUGGUUCUUACUAAACAUUCAGUAUUUCUAGGUUUUGUUAAGUGAUUUUAUGUGUUGAUAGCUAACUUGGAAUUUGUAACCUCAGCUCUGGGAGAGGAUUCUUCCUGAAUGACUAUUAUCUAGCUUAAGUAUGCUGUCACUGUAGGGUCGCAGGCAUCUCCACAAUUAUCUCCUCCUCCAGUUCUUUUAUAAAUGGAGAUGAGGUAACACUCACUCACUCUUCCUUUCCACCACAUGACUAAUGUGUCUUUCUAGAUUUUCCUUCUGGUUAUGUAAAACUGCUAUAAUUAUUUUUUACAUAGAUGGUAGAAUAUCACAGACAUAUUUCCUAACCUUUUACGUAACAAUAUCCUUGGGAGAGGUCCUUCACUUUGUAGUACAGUUACGUAUCAUAAUUUACUAUAUAAAUAUUUGGAAUUUCAAUCUUAGGUGUUACUAUAUACAAUGUUCCAGUGAAAUUUUAACUUCUCAUGGAUGUGUAUAGCUCUAAGUUCAUAAAAAGAAGGUGGUGAGUCUCAGCUUUUGGUGCAAUUGUAAUUUUGGCAGAUAUUCUGCCACCCAAAAUGGCUGGGCUGAUGGACACCCACCUUCCCCCAGCUGUGUGUGAAUGUGCCUAUCUGUUCCUACCCUGGUAAAGUGUAUAGAAAACCAGUCCUGGAAGAGUUAAACUUAAAACUUUUCAAACACCUUUCAAAUAGUUCCAAAAGUGCCCAUAAGAGAGUUAUUAUAAGAAUACUGAAUUAACUAAACCUGACACAGGAUAACAGGGCUUCUGUUUCUCAACACCACUGCUAAAGACACCAUAAUGAUGUAAGCAUGUUUCCUUUAGAACCAGAUGAAAUAAAAUCUACUUUUAUACAUAAUUUUCUUAUAACAAGAUGUUUAUUAUAGAAAUAUUAGAAAAUAUAAGUUAGCUGAAAAUGAAUAAUUAGGGGUUUUAGUCCAAGAUUCCCUCCUGUGCAUACAUUAGUUCUGCACAGGUCUUGUUAGAAUGAAGACUUACUUAAAAAAAAUUUCUUACUAUCCUGGUCUUCUAUACCUUUUAAAUUAUGAUUUUUAAUUUUUUAUUUUCUGGUACUAGGGAUUGAACUUGGGACCUUGUGCUUGUGAGGCAGGUGCUGGAACCACUGAGCUAAAUCCCUGGCCCUAAAUUAUGGUUUUUUUAAUAUUUAAUUUUUU